UAUCCUUUCUCAUUGACAUGAUAUUCAACUGGUUUGGUAAACACUUUAUAUGCAGGCUGCCAUUGUAAAUUCACAAACUCUUGAAGAGGUUGCAAGGCUUGAGUAGGCUUUAAAGUCUGGCCAGCUUCCCACAUAUCUCAUCAUUGGUGAUGAUGAUACUAGCUCCAAGAAGGAUGAUGCUAAAGAAGAUAAAAUGGUUCCAGAUGGUGAGAAUCAAGCUAUAAUAGUGAGCAGAGAGAUAGUCUCACUGAACAAAAUGAUGGUCCUACAUAAAUGGAGCAGAAUCUGAAUAUUCUUCCAAUCCCCCAGCAAGCUCUUCUCAUGCUCCUUUACCUAGGGUCAAGACUUGAAGAAGAAGAUCAAAUAAUCUAGUCUUUACUUGAUGAUUUCCACCCCCAAGCAAUAGUUUUGAAGAUUAACAGCAUGCUUGGCCUUUAAAAAAAAAAAAAAAAAAAACAGCAUGCUUGGAGUUGGCGUUUCGCACAAAGCGCGUGCCCACGACUAGUCAGAUAAUAUUACAUCAACAUUCAACAUUGCAGCCAUCAGACCGUGCUAAUUCUACAAAGAUACAAGAUUUGAUUGAAAUUUUGAAGACUUCUAUGCUUAUGCAUUAAAGAUUAGAUGCUCUUGAGAGUGAAAGAGCUGACACUUCAUCAUCACCCUCAUCGUAACGGGAUUAAACUUGAUAUUUAUAUUUUUAAUGGAUUAUUAUAUUCUUGUUUAGGCACGAAUUUGGUAUUAAGUACAACAUUCUCAAUUGGUUGAACUAUGAAGUAUUACUAUUAUAUUACAAAUUAUAUUUUAUUUUAGUUUUAA